rnacentral:rRNA from 1 species
AUGCAGGCAUGAGUAACGAAUUGAUAGGUGAGAAUCCUAUCCGCCGGAUGACUAAGGGUUCCUGGGUCAAGUUCGUCUUCCCAGGGUGAGUCGGGACCUAAGGCGAGGCCGACAGGCGUAGUCGAUGGAUAACCAGUUGAUAUUCUGGUACCCGUAUGUCCGCGCCCAUGAUAAAGCACUGAUACUAACCACCGCGGAUAUGAUUGAUGUGUUCUUUGAGCACGUUGGUUGUUGAUGUCGUGGGGCCUGAUGUGUGGUUCAAGUGAUGGGGUGACACAGAGUAGUAGCCAUGCCGCUUAGUGGAUUGUUGGUGUAAGCGUGUGAGGUGGUGUGUAGGUAAAUCCGCACACCGUAUAGCCUGAGGCGUGAUGCGUAGCCCGAUUGGGUGAAGUUGGUGAUCUAGUACUGUCGAGAAAAGCCUCUAGCGAUGUGGAUGUAUGGCCCGUACCCUAAACCGACACAGGUGGUCAGGUUGAAAAUACUAAGGCGUUCGGGUGAACUGUGGUUAAGGAAC